GUGGCCUUCUUUGGGAAAGUGUGUAAGUGGGUCCGGUUUUGAAGCUUCAGAUGACUGGUGUCAUUCCCACUGAGUCCUCUCUAUUUGCGGAUCAGGAUGUAAGAUCAGCUAUUCCUUCCCCCACGCCUCUGCUCCACCUCCAUGGACUCUAGCCCACUGAUACUGAGGAAAGUGGGACUAGAAUUGAAUUAUUAACCAUCCCUCUCAAAGUCAUACAAUAUCUGUAAGUAUUUCAAGAGAGCUACUAGGCUGGGGACUAUGGCACAUGCUGGGAGAGCGAGUCAUCCUAGCUCCCUGGAAAAAGAAAUGACUAAGCUUUGGACAGUUCCUCACCUUAACCUAUAGACCUCUCCAUCUGUUUGCCACCUGUGUCCUUUGUAAAUCCUGUAUUAUAAAUUGGUAAGUGCAUCUUCCCAAACUCCAUAGGCCAAUACAGUAAAUGUGACCUAAUGAAAGAAGUGGACUACAGAAACCUCCAAUUUGUAAAUUUAAAGGAUGGAGAAAAUCUAAGAAGCCAUCACUUGUAGUUAUCACCUGAGCAGGUUUGAUAUUAUGUGCCUAGGACUUUAACAUCGAGAGUCUACACAAAUUCCAAGCAGAUGAUUCCAGAAGUGAAUCAAAUUGGAGAACAGCUUCUUGGUGCCUGCAGAGAAUUAGAUAAAACCUUGAUAUGGAUAAACUCCUCAUACACCUUAUGUCAGAAACCAUCUAUGCAGAGUAGACAGAACAGUUUCUUUUGACCACCAUACACUUGUGUGUUCCUGCACCAUAGCUAUUCCAUCCUGGUGGGCUGAAACAUGAUCAAGGAUAUAGGACAGGAGACUGGUAUAAAGAAGAAUGACAGCUCGUUUACAAAGCCAUGCUAAAAUCAAAGCAAUGUUAGAGAUGAUAAACAAUAAACCUAAAAUCCAAAUUGGACAUUACAAGUCAGAUCUGACAGGCUUUCCAAAGCAGAAUAGAAACGAAAAAUGCAUGAGUUGACUCCAAUAAGAGGCUUGAUGACAGAAAUGAAAGAUAAUUGAUUUUCAACAUAUGGAUGAUAGGCACUUCCUUGAACAGGCUAAGACAAGGAGAAUAAACAUCAUAAUACAGCAUAUUAAAACAAUAGCUCAAUAAUGAUACACAUGAUUAGAUGAAAGUACUCAGAAUCUAUGAUGUAAAUCAAUAAAAAUUUAAUAAUCAACACACAAAAUAGACUCAACCGAAGACCAAAUUCCAAGACCUGGAAUUAUUAGAUAGCUAGGAGAAAACAUAAGUGAAAUAAUUCAGGAUAUUGGCACAAUCGUUUCUUAUAUUGCUGCAAAAGCACAGCAAUAAAAGAGCAAAAUAGACAAACUACAAUGGAAAGCUUCUGCACAAGAGAGAAGCCAACCAACACAGUAAACAGAUCGCCAAGAAAAUGGGAAAGUACUAGCCAUCUGUUGAUAUGAUACAGGAUCAGUAUCUAGAGUACAUAAAAAAUUCAAGCAUCUUAGACAAUCAGUCCAAAAUAAAUUUGAUGUUUAUCUUCACAGGCAUUUCUCAAAGCAAAGCAUUUCAAGUGGUCAAUAAAAUCACAGACAAGACUCAGUUACAUUAGUUAUCAGGAAAUGGAAAACCAAAACUUUGUGGAGUUAUGCCCUUAUCCUGGUUAGAAUGCCUAUUAUUAAAAUAACAAAUGCUGGCAAUGAUGUAGAGGAAAUGGACUCAUAUACGUUGGGGGGUGAGAAUACAAAUCAAUAUGACUAUAGCAGAGAACUGCUUAAACAUUCUUUGAAAAACAAUUUACCAUCUAUCUCACCAAUGCACACAUGACCAAGGGAAAGGAAAACAGUAUAUUAUAGUAACACCUGAGCUGCAUGUUUUCCACAGCUUUCUUCGCUAUAAUGAAGAUAUGGAUUAUUCUAAAUUUCUAUCAAUGGAUGAAUGGAUUAAAAUGCACUAUAGCUACACUGUAGAGUUUUAUUUAGCCAUAAAAAAGAAUAAAAUCCUGUCACUUGUGGCAAAAUGAAUGGAGCUGGAGGAUAUUAACCUAAGUGGUACACACAGAGGGAUGAAUGGCAUACACUGAAAAUAGCACUGGCCAACUUGAAUGUUGUAUGGAGACUACUAAAGACUGUGAACAAGGCAAUCAAUAGGGAAAGGUUUGAUAACAGAUACCAGACAUCCUUAGUGGUGCUAUGGUUCUUAUCACACCACAUUAUAGUACACCAUCCACCUGUUUGCUGUGCAGUGUUCUUUAAAGAUGUCAAAAAGCAUUAAAAAUAAAUAAUUUAUGAAGGAAGAAAUGUUACUCCAA